rnacentral:rRNA from 1 species
AAUAGAUACCCAGGUAGUCCACGCCGUAAACGAUGAAUACUAGGUGUAGGGGUUGUCAUGACCUCUGUGCCGCCGCUAACGCAUUAAGUAUUCCGCCUGGGGAGUACGGUCGCAAGAUUAAAACUCAAAGGAAUUGACGGGGGCCCGCACAAGCAGCGGAGCAUGUGGUUUAAUUCGAAGCAACGCGAAGAACCUUACCUAGACUUGACAUCUCCUGCAUUACCCUUAAUCGGGAAAGUUCCUUCGGGGACAGGAAGACAGGUGGUGCAUGGUUGUCGUCAGCUCGUGUCGUGAGAUGUUGGGUUAAGUCCCGCAACGAGCGCAACCCUUAUUGUUAGUUGCUACCAUUUAGUUGAGCACUCUAGCGAGACUGCCCGGGUUAACCGGGAGGAAGGUGGGGAUGACGUCAAAGUCAUCGAUGCCCCUUAUGUCUAGGGCUACACACGUGCUACAAUGGCAAGUCAAAGAGACGCAAUACCGCGAGGUGGAGCAAAACUCGAAAAACUUGUCUCAGUUCGGAUUGUAGGCUGAAACCUCGCUACA